rnacentral:rRNA from 1 species
UACGGGGGGGGCAAGCGUUGUUCGGAAUUACUGGGCGUAAAGGGCUCGUAGGCGGCCAACUAAGUCAGACGUGAAAUCCCUCGGCUUAACCGGGGAACUGCAUCUGAUACUGGAUGGCUUGAGUCCGGAAGAGGCGAGUGGAAUUCCUGGUGUAGCGGUGAAAUGCGCAGAUAUCAGGAGGAACACCAAUGGCGAAGGCAGCUCGCUGGGACGGUACUGACGCUGAGACGCGAAAGCGUGGGGAGCAAACAGG